GAUGAAGAACGUAGCGAAAUGCGAUAAGUAAUGUGAAUUGCAGAAUUCAGUGAAUCAUCGAAUCUUUGAACGCACAUUGCGCCCCCAGUAUUCUGGCGGGCAUGCCUGUUCGAGCGUCAUUUCAACCAUCAAGCCCUGCUUGUGUUGGGGUCCUGCGGCUGCCCGCAGGCCCUGAAAACCAGUGGCGGGCUCGCUAGUCACACCGAGCGCAGUAGCACAUCUCGCUCAGGGCGUGCGGCGGGCUCCAGCCGUUAAAGCACCCACCUUUCGCAAGGUUGACCUCGGAUCAGGUAGGAAUACCCGCUGAACUUAAGCAUAUCAAUAAGCGGAGGA
rnacentral:misc_RNA from 1 species